GUCCUUGCUUCGGUAGCACGUACACAAAAACUACAAUGACACAGAGAAGAUUAGUAUGACCCCUGUGUAAGGAUUACAUGUAAAUUCAUGAAGCAUUCCAUAUUUGG